rnacentral:rRNA from 1 species
GUAGGUGGGCAAGCGUUGUCCGGAAUUAUUGGGCGUAAAAGCGCGCGCAGGGCGGUCCUUUAAGUCUGAUGUGAAAGCCCACGGCUCAACCGUGGAGGGUCAUUGGAAACUGGGGGACUUGAGUACAGAAGAGGAAAGCGGAAUUCCAAGUGUAGCGGUGAAAUGCGUAGAGAUUUGGAGGAACACCAGUGGCGAAGGCGGCUUUCUGGUCUGUAACUGACGCUGAGGCGCGAAAGCGUGGGGAGCAAACAGGAUUAGAUACCCUGGUAGUCCACGCCGUAAACGAUGAGUGCUAAGUGUUAGGGGGUUUCCGCCCCUUAGUGCUGCAGCUAACGCAUUAAGCACUCCGCCUGGGGAGUACGGCCGCAAAGGCUG